rnacentral:rRNA from 1 species
CCUCGCUUUUCUCAACCGUAGGGAGGUUGAGGAACAAGUGCUGGGCAAGACCGGUGCCAGCCGCCGCGGUAAUACCGGCAGCACAAGUGAUGACCGCUGUUAUUGGGCCUAAAGCGUCCGUAGCUGGCCAGACAAGUUCAUCGGGAAAUCUGCGCGCCUAACGCGCAGGCGUCCGGUGGAAACUGCCUGGCUUGGGACCGGAAGACCAGAGGGGUACGUCUGGGGUAGGAGUGAAAUCCCGUAAUCCUGGACGGACCACCGGUGGCGAAAGCGCCUCUGGAAGACGGAUCCGACGGUGAGGGACGAAAGCUCGGGUCACGAACCGGAUUAGAUACCCGGGUAGUCCGAGCUGUAAACGAUGUCUGCUAGGUGUGACACAGGCUACGAGCCUGUGUUGUGCCGUAGGGAAGCCGUGAAGCAGACCGCCUGGGAAGUACGUCCGCAAGGAUGAAACUUAAAGGAAUUGGCGGGGGGAGCCACAA